AGCGAACGCUGGCGGCAGGCCUAACACAUGCAAGUCGAACGAACCCUUCGGGGUUAGUGGCGGACGGGUGAGUAACACGUGGGAACGUGCCUUUAGGUUCGGAAUAACUCAGGGAAACUUGUGCUAAUACCGAAUGUGCCCUUCGGGGGAAAGAUUUAUCGCCUUUAGAGCGGCCCGCGUCUGAUUAGCUAGUUGGUGAGGUAAUGGCUCACCAAGGCUACGAUCAGUAGCUGGUCUGGGAGGAUGACCAGCAACAUUGGGACUGAGACACGGCCCAAACUCCUACGGGAGGCAGCAGUGGGGAAUCUUGCGCAAUGGGGGAAAGCCUGACGCAGCCAUGCCGCGUGGAUGAUGAAGGUCUUAGGAUUGUAAAAUCCUUUCACCGGUGAAGAUAAUGACGGUAGCCGGAGAAGAAGCCCCGGCUAACUUCGUGCCAGCCGCCGCGGUAACAC
rnacentral:rRNA from 1 species